GAUCAUGGCUCAGGACGAACGCUGGCGGCGUGCCUAAUACAUGCAAGUCGAACGCUUUUUCUUUCACCGGAGCUUGCUCCACCGAAAGAAAAAGAGUGGCGAACGGGUGAGUAACACGUGGGUAACCUGCCCAUCAGAAGGGGAUAACACUUGGAAACAGGUGCUAAUACCGUAUAACACUAUUUUCCGCAUGGAAGAAAGUUGAAAGGCGCUUUUGCGUCACUGAUGGAUGGACCCGCGGUGCAUUAG
rnacentral:rRNA from 1 species